CCCCUAAAGUAUGUGUUGCAAAUUAUGCAUAGAUAUUUACAUUAAUAUGGUUAACAUACAUUUGCAUUUUUAUAUAUUUGAUAUAGACAUAGUUAUUGGUUUUAGCACGUGGUUAAUAUCUGUAUUUAGAUUCAUAUUCAUCAAAUAAAAAUAAACAUGAAUAUGACUAAUGACAAACAACUUGUAUUUUUAAGAAGGGAGCAAUAAC
rnacentral:lncRNA from 1 species